AACCAAGUAGUGUAAUUAACAUAAUAAGUUGUAAACUUAGAGAUACUUUUGUAUUGGUUU
rnacentral:tRNA from 1 species